rnacentral:rRNA from 1 species
AGAGUUUGAUCAUGGCUCAGAUUGAACGCUGGCGGAAUGCUUUACACAUGCAAGUCGAACGGCAGCACGGGAGCUUGCUCCUGGUGGCGAGUGGCGAACGGGUGAGUAAUGCGUCGGAACGUGCCGAGUAAUGGGGGAUAACGCAGCGAAAGUUGUGCUAAUACCGCAUACGCCCUGAGGGGGAAAGUGGGGGAUCGCAAGACCUCACGUUAUUCGAGCGGCCGACGUCUGAUUAGCUAGUUGGUGGGGUAAAGGCCUACCAAGGCGACGAUCAGUAGCGGGUCUGAGAGGAUGAUCCGCCACACUGGGACUGAGACACGGCCCAGACUCCUACGGGAGGCAGCAGUGGGGAAUUUUGGACAAUGGGGGCAACCCUGAUCCAGCCAUUCCGCGUGAGUGAAGAAGGCCUUCGGGUUGUAAAGCUCUUUCAGCUGGAACGAAACGGUACAUCCUAAUACGGUGUGCUAAUGACGGUACCAGCAGAAGAAGCACCGGCUAACUACGUGCCAGCAGCCGCGGUAAUACGUAGGGUGCGAGCGUUAAUCGGAAUUACUGGGCGUAAAGCGUGCGCAGGCGGAUUGUUAAGCAAGAUGUGAAAUCCCCGGGCUUAACCUGGGAAUGGCAUUUUGAACUGGCAGUCUAGAGUGCGUCAGAGGGGGGUGGAAUUCCACGUGUAGCAGUGAAAUGCGUAGAGAUGUGGAGGAACACCAAUGGCGAAGGCAGCCCCCUGGGAUGACACUGACGCUCAUGUACGAAAGCGUGGGUAGCAAACAGGAUUAGAUACCCUAGUAGUCC